AACAGGUACCAUUCAUGCAUUUUAUUAAACCAUGACCAUAUAUGCAAUUAUUCUUAAACAGGGACCUUCUAUGCAAACCCUUUAACCAAUAAUUCUUUUCUUUUUUCUAUUAAUUACUCUGAUUACCACUAUCACCAGAUGCAAACCUUUUAAUCUCAAACAAUCGGCCAAAUCUAAUCUCUUCAAUAUCGGGUACAAGUAAGAACUUUUUUUUCUUUUCUCUUGAUCUUAUGAUACUUACUCUGAUGUCAUUGGUGUUGAUCCUUACUACAUUUUCAAUUUUUUUAAACAGGUCCAUCUACAACAAACGUAGUUACUAAUGUUGAACAAUAUCAAAGAGAGCAACAAUCGGGUUAGUAUGUUUAAAUUACUUGUUAAUAUAUUGCAGUAUGUGAUAUUAUUAAUGUAAAUUUACUUGUACAUACUUAUAGACACAGUUUUUGAGACCGAGCAAGAAAGUGAUAGUAAUGCUACAAUUGCAAAGUGUGGCAUCAGUUGUGGCAAAGGUGCUCGAAAGGCAAUGAAAGCAUCUAAGAAGAGAUUGCCCAUAAAAUUUAAUUUAGUAGCAAAGCGAGUAAUAUGUAACAAUGAAUCAGCUUUCACAUAUGAGUGCGGCUAUAUUUUACGUAAGAACUAUAGCUUACAACACAAAGAGUGGAGGCUUGUACCGAAGGAAGAGAAAUUUCCAUUACGCCACAAGCUAACUAUGCUUUUUUAUAUUGAUGUGGAAAAUGAGAGUGUUUGCAACGUUAUCGAUAACUAUAUGGCAAGGUCAUGGAGAAAUUUUUGAGCUGAGUUGCAUAAAUACUUUAAAUAGAUUGGAGGACCAGAAGACCCAAUAAAGGCAAAGACUAAACCCCCUUUAGAUAUUCGUAGCAAAGAAGAUUGGGAGUAUCUAUGUGACAUGUGGUGUGAGCCAAAAUACAUGGAAAUUGCAAAAAAGAAGGUUAUUGCUCACGAAAAACGAAAAAUGGAGACAAGAAAUGGAUCGAAGAGUACAAUACGUUAUCAUGUUGAGCUUGUACAUGAUGUGGAUUCUUCAUUGGGUCAUAUUGAGACUUGGUGGCUUACACAUUGGGAUGAAGAAAAAGGUUGGAAAUCU